GCACGGUGGCACAGUGGUUAGCAUUAUUGCCUUGCACUAAAGAGGUUCUGGGUUUGAGCCCCAGCCAGCC